rnacentral:rRNA from 1 species
AUGGCUUCUUUGUCGACGUUUUCGUGUGUUGAAGUCUCGAUGUUGCGACCUCCACAGGAAGCACCUUCAUUGCCACCUCCCAUGUCGCUCAUGUUGUCACCAAAGCCAGCCCCAUGCCACUCAUGUUGCCGUCUAAGCCACCACUCAUGCCGCUCAUGUUCCACCAAAGCCACCGCCCAUGUCACCGAAGUCACCAUCGAUGUUGCCAUUAAAUGCAUCAUUCAUGGCACCUCCCAUCAUGUUCAUGUAGCACUUCCCAUUCCUCCUCCCGUCAUAAUUAACCUCACAUUCUAUUCUUAUCAGAAAUUAAAAGAACAAACACGAGGAAAAAUAUUUUUUUUUACCUUUGCGACAUUUCGUCAAGCACGUUGGAGGCGGUAG